UUCAUGUGUAUGAGUGAGUAUAAAAACUAGAACCGCCACAGAUCUAAAAAACAUAAGUAUUGUAUCCUUGUUAGAAGAUACAUAGACAAAGACUCAUACGAAAUUCGGCUAAACCAUCAAAUCUUAUUGAAGCAAGAAGAAGCUUGGUUAGUGUUUUGGAGUGAAAUAUGAAUAGAUAUCAUGAGUAUGAGUGAGUAUAACAGCUAGAACCGCAAUUGGAAUUUUAGAAGCCUAAGUAUUGUAUCCUUGUUAGAAGAUACAAAGACAAACACUCAUACGGGCUUCGGCUACACCAUCAAAGCUUUGAGAAGCAAGAAGAAGCUUAGUUAGUGUUUUGGAGUCGAAUAUGACUUGAUGUGAUGUGUAUGAUUGAGUAUAAGAAAUUUAACCGCAAUCGGAUCUUAAAAGCCUAAGUAGUGUUUCCUUGUUAGAAGAUACAAAGGCAAAGCCUCAUACGGU
rnacentral:sRNA from 1 species